GUAAGACGUGAGUUUAAGUGAGAAGGGUCUGGCUGCAGACCAUGGGCGAGUGGAGCUCCACUCUCAAACCGAAAAUACUUCACCUCCACUUGAAAACAUCAAGAUGGCGUCGCCGGGAGUACUUCAAACUUAAACUCAGGGAUAGGAUUGGCAUAGAAGAUGCAGCACUCUACAUUUUAAAUAUCAAAUGUAUAUCAAGUGUUAUCCAUCCUCAUAACACCUCCACAAAUAGAGACUGAAACUUCCGAGCACCAUCACCUUGUCUGCUAUGGGACUGUCAUAGCCCAGCAUCAGAUGCAUCAGAACAACAAAGCACAACUGUGGUGGACCAGGCACCUUCAGCAACAAAGAUUUAACAACACUGUCAGUCAGGAGCAUAUUAAACAGGAGGCACACUUCAGCUGGCUUGAUGGUGACUUCAGUGCAGUGAAGAUAUUUAAAGAGACACUAUCUAAAGUACAGAAAGCCGUACAUAAUCUCUAGGUGCAGUCGCCUACAGUACAGCCAGCUUCACAAAGACUGUGGGGCUGGUCACCAGGAAAAUGGCCAACAAGGAGUGCUUUUGGGGUUUUACUCCUCAGAUGACCACCCUGGCUACUGUAGCUGGGAUUGCUUCACAGACAAUGGAGGUCUUGAAGAGUAACGUGUACGUGCAUGUGAACACAUUGUGUUAUUAGAGGAACAAUUAUGGUCACUUGCAGUUCAUGUGUUUUCAAUGUAGUGUAAGAUGUGUUAAUUAUUAUUAUUACUCAAAAACCAUUAAAACUUCUAAAUUGUGGAAGUUAUUCUUCAUUAUUUUACUGUGGUUAUUUUGUAUAUGUUGUUAUUUUGAUUAAAAUACAAAAUUCAACACAUAA